rnacentral:rRNA from 1 species
CCUACGGGAGGCUGCAGUGAGGAAUAUUGGUCAAUGGACGCAAGUCUGAACCAGCCAUGCCGCGUGCAGGAAGACGGCCCUAUGAGUUGUAAACUGCUUUUGUACGAGGGUAAACGCACUUACGUGUAUCUGUCUGAAAGUAUCGUACGAAUAAGGAUCGGCUAACUCCGUGCCAGCAGCCGCGGUAAUACGGAGGAUUCAAGCGUUAUCCGGAUUUAUUGGGUUUAAAGGGUGCGUAGGCGGUCGGCUAAGUUAGAGGUGAAAUCCCGAGGCUCAACUUCGGAAUUGCCUCUGAUACUGUUCGGCUAGAGAGUAGUUGCGGUAGGCGGAAUGUAUGGUGUAGCAGUGAAAUGCUUAGAGAUCAUACAGAACACCGAUUGCGAAGGCAGCUUACCAAGCUACUUCUGACGUUGAGGCACGAAAGCGUGGGGAGCAAACAGGAGUAGAUACCCCUGUAGUC